UACGGAGGGUGCAAGCGUUUAUCCGGAUUCACUGGGUUUAAAGGGUGUGUAGGCGGAUAUUUAAGUCCGAGGUGAAAUCUCUGAGCUCAACUCAGAAACUGCCUUGGAUACUAUUUAUCUUGAAUAUCGUUGAGGUAGGCGGAAUAUGUCAUGUAGCGGUGAAAUGCUUAGAUAUGACAUAGAACACCGAUUGCGAAGGCAGCUUGCUAAACGAUUAUUGACGCUGAGGCACGAAAGCGUGGGGAGUCAAACAGG
rnacentral:rRNA from 1 species